GAACCUUACCAGCUCUUGACAUGCCCGGUAUGGGCGGGAGAGAUCCCGUCNUUCGGUUCGGCCGGCCGGGACACAGGUGCUGCAUGGCUGUCGUCAGCUCGUGUCGUGAGAUGUUGGGUUAAGUCCCGCAACGAGCGCAACCCCCAUCUGCAGUUGCCAGCGGUUUGGCCGGGCACUCUGCAGAAACUGCCGGUGACAAGCCGGAGGAAGGCGGGGAUGACGUCAAGUCCUCAUGGCCCUUAUGGGCUGGGCUACACACGUGCUACAAUGGCGGUGACAGAGGGCGGCAACGGGGCGACCCGGCGCCAAUCUCAAAAAGCCGUCUCAGUUCGGAUUGCUCUCUGCAACUCGAGAGCAUGAAGUCGGAAUCGCUAGUAAUCGCAGAUCAGCAUUGCUGCGGUGAAUACGUUCCCGGGCCUUGUCACACCGA
rnacentral:rRNA from 1 species